AGAGACUGUCUUUAUCCAAAUGGUGUUAGUAAUCUGCUCACAGGCUAGAAAUCCACGGACAGAAAAAGUAAGUAAACGGAGCCCAGGAAUAGAGAAGGAAGUGCAGGUUGUGGACUGGGCAACCCCCAAGGCGGCAAAGAGGAAACCAGAGACAGGGUCUCGGUCUGUUACCCAAGCUGAAGAGCAAUGGGAUGAUCAUGGCUCACUGCAGCCUCAGAUUCCUGGGCUCAAGUGAUCCUCCCAUCUCAGCCUCCCAAGUAGCUGGACCUACAGACAUCCACCAUCAUGCCUGGGCCCCAGGUACUGAAGAUAAGAAUAUAGAGAAGUUUUUCUUCUGACAGACUUGCUGGAAGCCAGGUGGCUAUCGCUGGUAACAAUCCAGGAAGCUAACGGAUAACUUCUGUAACAACUGGACCCACACGGCCAGGACUUGAUUAAUGACUGACAUCUACCCUAAUUUUUGUGCCUACAUCCAAUUUAAGACCAAACAGAGAAAACGAAACACGCACCCCUAACCGAUCAUGCAGAAUGCCCCUACUUCUGUUUAGCCCGCCUACAGCUUCCCCAUGGCAAUAGCCUCCAAUCAGGAUACACCUGAACCCUUCCCUCCCCACCCACUGCCCUGCUAUAAAGCUUUCUCAUUUCUCUGCCUUUGAAUCACUGCCAAAACACAGCGACAGUAGCUAACUCCCUUGUUGUAUAGCAGGCUGUGAAAAAAUAGCACUUGCAUUUCUCAUUUGAUUGGUCGUCAUUUAUUUCUAUAACCAUGUGUUUCAUUCAUGCAAUUCAGAAGUUUCUUUGGAAUAACUUGCAGAGUAAACUAAAAAAUAUUUAUUUGCUAUGAUACUUUAUAUAUAUUUUCUGCUUAUUUAAGUUCCCUACUGAGGUUUUGAAAUUCUCCCUGAUGCUGGUAGUAUAAAAAUCUUAUUUGAAGCAAAUCAAUUAAUCCUGAAGAUGACUGAAAGAUCAAUAUGAGAUAGCUGCAGAUAAACCAACUAUUCUCUAAGCUCUAGGACACCUUCAAACAGCACAUUCUGCCUUUUAAUACAAGUAUUUACACACUGAUUUCAGUUGUAAAGAAAUGAGAAACUUC
rnacentral:lncRNA from 1 species